AGUGAACGCUGGCGGUAGGCCUAACACAUGCAAGUCGAACGGCAACACAGUAAGAGCUUGCUCUUACGGGUGGCGAGUGGCGGACGGGUGAGGAAUACAUCGGAAUCUACUUUUUCGUGGGGGAUAACGUAGGGAAACUUACGCUAAUACCGCAUACGACCUACGGGUGAAAGCAGUGGAUCUUCGGACCUUGCGCGAUUGAAUGAGCCGAUGUCGGAUUAGCUAGUUGGCGGGGUAAAGGCCCACCAAGGCGACGAUCCGUAGCUGGUCUGAGAGGAUGAUCAGCCACACUGGAACUGAGACACGGUCAAGACUCCUACGGGAGGCAGCAGUGGGGAAUAUUGGACAAUGGGCGCAAGCCUGAUCCAGCCAUACCGCGUGGGUGAAGAAGGCCUUCGGGUUGUAAAGCCCUUUUGUUGGGAAAGAAAAGCAGCAGGUUAAUACCCCGCUGUUCUGACGGUACCCAAAGAAUAAGCACCGGCUAACUUCGUG
rnacentral:rRNA from 1 species